GUUGCAGUUAAAAAGCUCGUAGUUGGAUUUCGGGCCCAGGUGACCGGUCCGCCGUUUCGGUGUGCACUGGUUAGCUCGGUCUUUCUGCCGGGGACACGCUCCGUCUUAAUUGCCGGACGUGGAGUCGGCGAUGUUACUUUGAAAAAAUUAGAGUGUUCAAAGCAGGCUUACGCUCUGAAUACUAUAGCAUGGAAUAACACGAUAGGACUCCGAGCCUAUUUUGUUGGUCUUCGGGACCGGAGUAAUGAUUAAGAGGGACAGUUGGGGGCAUUCGUAUUACGGUGUCAGAGGUGAAAUUCUUGGAUUUCCGUAAGACGAACUUCUGCGAAAGCAUUUGCCAAGGAUGUUUUCAUUAAUCAAGAACGAAAGUUGGGGGCUCGAAGAUGAUCAGAUACCGUCGUAGUCUCAACCAUAAACGAUGCCGACUAGGGAUUGCAGGAUGUUAAUUCGAUGACUUCUGCAGCACCUUAAGAGAAAUCAAGGUUUUUGGGUUCCGGGGGGAGUAUGGUCGCAAGGCUGAAACUUAAAGGAAUUGACGGAAGGGCACCACCAGGCGUGGAGCCUGCGGCUUAAUUUGACUCAACACGGGGG
rnacentral:rRNA from 1 species